rnacentral:rRNA from 1 species
ACGAACGCUGGCGGCGUGCUUAACACCUGCCAGUCGAACGGAAAGGCCCUGCUUUUGUGGGGUGCUCGAGUGGCGACCGGGUGAGUAACACGUGAGUAACCUGCCCUUGACUUUGGGAUAACUUCAGGAAACUGGGGCUAAUACCGGAUAGGAGCUCCUGCUGCAUGGUGGGGGUUGGAAAGUUUCGGCGGUUGGGGAUGGACUCGCGGCUUAUCAGCUUGUUGGUGGGGUAGUGGCUUACCAAGGCUUUGACGGGUAGCCGGCCUGAGAGGGUGACCGGCCACAUUGGGACUGCGAUACGGCCCAGACUCCUACGGGAGGCAGCAGUGGGGAAUAUUGCACAAUGGGCGGAAGCCUGAUGCAGCAACGCCGCGUGCGGGAUGACGGCCUUCGGGUUGUAAACCGCUUUCGCCUGUGACGAAGCGUGAGUGACGGUAAUGGGUAAAGAAGCACCGGCUAACUACGUG